rnacentral:rRNA from 1 species
AACAGACUCCUACGGGAGGCAGCAGUGAGGAAUAUUGGUCAAUGGGCGAGAGCCUGAACCAGCCAAGUCGCGUGAAGGAUGACGGCCCUACGGGUUGUAAACUUCUUUUGUCAGGGAGCAAUUGGGUCCACGCGUGGGCUUAGCGAGAGUACCUGAAGAAAAAGCAUCGGCUAACUCCGUGCCAGCAGCCGCGGUAAUACGGAGGAUGCGAGCGUUAUCCGGAUUUAUUGGGUUUAAAGGGUGCGUAGGCGGAAUGCCAAGUCAGCGGUAAAAUCGCGGGGCUCAACCUCGCUCCGCCGUUGAAACUGCGUUUCUUGAGUGGGCGAGAAGUACGCGGAAUGCGUGGUGUAGCGGUGAAAUGCAUAGAUAUCACGCAGAACUCCGAUUGCGAAGGCAGCGUACCGGCGCCCAACUGACGCUCAUGCACGAAAGCGUGGGUAUCGAACAGGAUUAGAUACCCUCGUAAG